GUGAACGCUGGCGGUAGGCCUAACACAUGCAAGUCGAACGGCAGCACAGUAAGAGCUUGCUCUUACGGGUGGCGAGUGGCGGACGGGUGAGGAAUACAUCGGAAUCUACUUUUUCGUGGGGGAUAACGUAGGGAAACUUACGCUAAUACCGCAUACGACCUACGGGUGAAAGCAGGGGAUCUUCGGACCUUGCGCGAUUGAAUGAGCCGAUGUCGGAUUAGCUAGUUGGCGGGGUAAAGGCCCACCAAGGCGACGAUCCGUAGCUGGUCUGAGAGGAUGAUCAGCCACACUGGAACUGAGACACGGUCCAGACUCCUACGGGAGGCAGCAGUGGGGAAUAUUGGACAAUGGGCGCAAGCCUGAUCCAGCCAUACCGCGUGGGUGAAGAAGGCCUUCGGGUUGUAAAGCCCUUUUGUUGGGAAAGAAAAGCAGCAGGUGAAUACCCCGCUGUUCUGACGGUACCCAAAGAAUAAGCACCGGCUAACUU
rnacentral:rRNA from 1 species